rfam:Camelus ferus unplaced genomic scaffold scaffold212, whole genome shotgun sequence.
GGUGGUAUAGCUCAGUGGCAAAGUUCGUGCUUAGCAUGCACGAGGUCCUGGGUUCAAUCCCCAGUACCACCG